rnacentral:rRNA from 1 species
GUUGGAUUAGCUAGUUGGUGAGGUAACGGCUCACCAAGGCGAUGAUCCAUAGCUGGUCUGAGAGGACGAUCAGCCACACUGGGACUGAGACACGGCCCAGACUCCUACGGGAGGCAGCAGUGGGGAAUAUUGGACAAUGGGCGUAAGCCUGAUCCAGCCAUGCCGCGUGAGUGAUGAAGGCCUUAGGGUUGUAAAGCUCUUUUACCAGGGAAGAUAAUGACGGUACCUGGAGAAUAAGCCCCGGCUAACUUCGUGCCAGCAGCCGCGGUAAUACGAAGGGGGCUAGCGUUGCUCGGAAUCACUGGGCGUAAAGCGCACGUAGGUGGGUUUCUAAGUCAGGGGUGAAAUCCUGGAGCUCAACUCCAGAACUGCCUUUGAUACUGGAAAUCUUUGAGUCCGGGAGAGGUGGGUGGAACUGCGAGUGUAGAGGUGAAAUUCGUAGAUAUUCGCAAGAACACCAGUGGCGAAGGCGGCUCACUGG